UUGCACUAAAUGAGUUAAUAUAUAUUUGAAAACCAAAUUCCGUACUACGAUACAUUUCAAUGUAGGAAAGUUUUAUGAAAUCUUACCCUGUGUAAAAACUAAAAUCGCAGGUACGUAACACUCUGUGUUAAACCACGUGGUGAUAUCUACUAAUUUUACAAAACGUCUAAUGAAUGUGCAAUAUAUUAUUAUAUUUAAUUUGUAGUCACGUUAUUCAGUUUUGACAUAAUAUUUUUCGCUACUUUAGAAAAGGCGUUUAUCAUAAUUAAAAUAUACAAUAACUAUUGGAUUUAUUGAUAAAAAAUUAUUUAUUAAUAGGUACCUAAAAUACCUAAGGUUAAAAUGCAGGUACAAGUGAUACAGAGUUUUCUUGGUCUAAAUAUGACGAAUUAUACUCAUUGAAAAAAAGCAAUAAUUGGAGGUUUUGGUUCUAUCGAUAAUGAGUACAGUUCAAAGCCUGAAAGAUUGUCGGAUGCUGGAAAUUAUACGUGCGUGGUGAAAAACAAAUACGGUUCAAUCCAAUACCAAUUCGCUGUAGGUGUUUACGAUGAUGAAAACAAAAAACCUCUUUCUUUCGAAUAUCCUCGAGAUUUGUCAUUAAAGUCGGGAGACAGCUACGGCAAUGUUUUUUUUGUCAUGCUUUUUAUUACGGCAAUAAAGAAAUCGAUUGGUACUUUUUGAAUAGUACAAACCCAAUGAACAUAGACAUAGAAACCGUGGAUCUUUCACAAUUUAAAAAAAUGGACAAUGACGUGACAUUGUUAAGUGGCAAGUUGAUAAUCGAACCUGUGACAAUCCAUGAUGCUGGAUGGUAUAUUUGUGUUCAAAAAUAUUAUUCUAAUAAUUUCAAAGAUUUGAAAGCUCUUAAAUGGCCGAAGCCCAAUUGAGAGUGGACAAACGUUUGAGUUUUACUACAAUCAUAAUUAUUUAUAAAUUAUAACAUUUGAUAACACUAAGAUAUUAAUAUCGUAUAAUCUUAGUUGAACAUGGUACAAUUUCAAUUUUGAAACUAUUUGAAAAAAGAUUUACGACUAUUACUUAAGAAUUAGGUAAAACUAACUUAAACUGCAGAAUACGCAAAUAAUUAUACAACACGAGUUUUCAACUUUGUUCUUUUUAUA